UGGGGAAUAUUGCACAAUGGGCGCAAGCCUGAUGCAGCCAUGCCGCGUGUAUGAAGAAGGCCUUCGGGUUGUAAAGUACUUUCAGUCGGGAGGAAGGUGGUAAGGUUAAUAACCUUAUCAAUUGACGUUGCCGACAGAAGAAGCACCGGCUAACUCCGUGCCAGCAGCCGCGGUAAUACGGAGGGUGCAAGCGUUAAUCGGAAUUACUGGGCGUAAAGCGCACGCAGGCGGUCUGUCAAGUCGGAUGUGAAAUCCCCGGGCUUAACCUGGGAACUGCAUUCGAAACUGGCAGGCUAGAGUCUUGUAGAGGGGGGUAGAAUUCCAGGUGUAGCGGUGAAAUGCGUAGAGAUCUGGAGGAAUACCGGUGGCGAAGGCGGCCCCCUGGACAAAGACUGACGCUCAGGUGCGAAAGCGUGGGGAGCAAACAGG
rnacentral:rRNA from 1 species